rnacentral:rRNA from 1 species
AACGAACGCUGGCGGCAUGCCUAACACAUGCAAGUCGAACGAGACCUUCGGGUCUAGUGGCGCACGGGGGCGUAACGCGUGGGAACCUGCCCUUAGGUUCGGAAUAACUCCCCGAAAGGGGUGCUAAUAACGGAUAAUGUCUUCGGACAAAAGAUUUAUCGCCUUGGGAUGGGCCCGAGUUUGAUUAGCUAGUUGGUUGGGUAAAGGGCUAACAAGGCGACGACGGGUAGCUGGCCUGAGCGGGUGAUCAGCCACAUUGGGACUGAGACACGGCCCAGACUCCUAGGGGGGGCAGCAGGGGGGAAUGUUGCAAAAUGGGUGGAAGCCUGAUGCAGCAACGCCGUGUGCGGGAGGAAGGCCUUCGGGUUGGAAACCGCUUUCGCUCAUGACGAAGCUUUGUGUGACGGUAGUGGGUAAAGAAGCACCGGCUAACUACGUG